GUGUUCACUUCAGCAGCACAUAUUCUAAAAAUUAAAACGAUACAGAGAAAAUUGGCAGGGCCCCUCUGCAAGGGUGACACAUCAAUUCAUGGAGCAUUCCAUAUUUUU
ensembl:snRNA U6 U6 spliceosomal RNA